CGAAGAAGAAGGCGCUUGGCGGCAAGCUUAAUUGGGAGCUCUUGAAAUAAACCCAAACGCCAAUUACUUCUUCCUCUCUACUUUUAUUAGGGAUUUUUUAAGAGUAGAAGCCUGUUUUGCAAGAAUAUGGAAGUGGAUCAUGAAGGAUGCAAGACACCGAAAGGCCAUGAGAGUCGAAUACCGACGGCGUUGGCCUGUCCACCGGCGCCGAAGAAGAAACUGGUUUACUUCAUGGAAAGGAUCCCGCCAAAAGACGGUUACUUUCAGCCGCCUGAUCUUGAAGCUUUCUUCUCGAUUGCACCAAGAACAAGAAGGAAGGCUUGUCUUGACUAGCUAGAGCCAAAUGUGAAGGUGAAGGAGGUGAACUCUAAUUCAGCUCUUAAAUCUAAUUUCUUAAAGCUAGUUUAUCUGUCUGCGUUUAAAAUUGUUCAUACAUAGUUCUCAGAUCACGUAUGGUAUUCUUAUAUCUGAGAUUUUUUUUUUAAACGUGUG
rnacentral:misc_RNA from 1 species